UACUGUUGCAUGAAUGUAUCGUUUUGUUUAGUGUAGUAUUCAUGGACAUUUUUGUCCCUCUUACUAUUAUGCCACAUCAGUGUUAUAGACCAUGAAGCAAACUGAUGCAGUCCAUUGGAUCAAAAUUCUAUAAAUAUAUUGGAGGUAAAAAGCUUAUUCUGCUAGGUUUCCACUAAUUUUCUUCCAAAAAAGAAAGGAAAAAAAUGAGAAUGAAGGAGUUGAGAGAAUUGGCUUUGGCAUACCGCAAGGCUCCCAUAAACAACAUAGAGCCGGUCCUGAAAGAGUUCUUCGAAGAAAUGGAUCCACAGAAGAAAGGUUUCGUAGCGUUUAAGGAGUUCUCAGUUUACAUGGAGAAUUUGGGACGCCCUGAAUUGUGCUCAGAGGAGUUCUUCUCCAAGCUGAACCAAGAUGGAAGUGGAAAGCUCGAUGAUAUGGAUGUAGUAACACUUUUUUACAUUGUUCAUAGUCGUUUGCCUUUUUGCAAUUCUUGCAAAAAGUUUAUAGAGGGUACUUCCUAUUUGGUUUGUGUGAAAUGCUUCCAUGGGAAUAAUAAUGGUAAAACUGAUGCUAAUGAAGAAUCCUUCAAUGUUUGCACUACCUGCUACCUUGAUGAAAAAUUUAAGCAUCAUCACAAUGAAUUCCUCGAUCCAAACCUUCUUCUUCGUCAUUUGAGGAUGAUGCAGCCUGUAGCAGUUUCUUCUACAACUUCUGUGCCUCAAGAUGUUCAGGACCUUAAGAUUGUAGCAAAUUCUUCUACGCCUUCUGCAACUGAUCCGGUUGUAGCAGACAACUCUUCUAAUCUUUCUGCAAAUAAUCAGCUUAAAGCAGGUUCUUCUUCAAAAUCUAUAAAUCAGGUGAAAAUUUAAAAAUUUAUUCUGGGGUGCCCUGGGGGAAUACAAACUAAUUUGGAAAAUAAUAAUUUUUUUAAAUUAAAUAUAUAUAUAUAUAUAUAUAUAUUUUUUUUUUAAUUUGGAAAAAGGUGCAAAAUAACUAUAGAUGUUAAUUAAUGCUAUUUUUUCAAGUGUUAUUUAGUUUUAAGUUUUUGUUGAUGAUAUAUUUCUAGUAUUUUUUGUAACACCCCGUCCCAAAUCGCACUGGAAUCCGUGCACAUUGACCGAGGUUGACCGUUGACCAAGGGGUCAAAAGUUGACUUUUGACUCGGUGGGAAUUUCGAGUAGACCAGGGUACCGUGGCGAAGUGCACGAUGCCACGAGUUCGUAGACUGGUAGCACGUCGAAAACGGAGCUACGGUUUGAAAGUUAUGGACGAAACAAGUUGCGGUCCAAACUGUCCAAGGGGUGCCGGAGUUGACUUUUUGUUUAUGGGGAAUUGAGCUUUGACUCGUGCAUGGUUGUGAAGUGUUCGUCGAUACGAGUUCACAGACUAGCGGCACGCUCAAAACGGACAUCCGGUUAAAAAGUUAUGGACGUUUGAAGUUUACCGUAUACCGUAUUAUUUUAAUGUUUUUGGCUAGGUGAACAGUGAAAUGCCACGUGUCAGGUUCUAAUUGGUCCACGUGGCAUGAACAGUGUCACACAUGGGUUUUUAUUUGGUAAAACUCUCGGGGAAGAGAGAGAAAGAGAGAGAGGAGAGAGAAAGAGAGAGAGAGGACCGCCGGCCACCGGAAUUUUCCACUGUUCCGGACGAUCUACAGUGCACGCGCCGGCCAGCAAGCUUGCCCUCCUCAUUUCCGGCAAAACCUCCAAAUUUCACGGCGAACGGCCGCCGGACGCGCCCGGAUCGGACCUCCGAAGAUCGGCGGCGACUUUUUCCCCUCCACCGCCGGCCACCGCGAAUCGACCCUGUUCCGGCCUAGUUUCUGUACACGCGCCAGCUAGCCUUGAUCCUCUCCUCAAGUCCGACCGACCCACCAAAAAUCACGGCCAUCGGACCACCGACGCGCCGGGAUCGGAGCGUUUUCCGGCGAGGGGCCGGAAAUCUUCAAACGGUGAUUUCUCCGCCGUCCGACCUCCGUUUUGCUCACCGCCAGUCCCGUUGGGUUGCUCUCCUCAAGAUCUACAAGUCUGCAAAAUUUCACGACCAACGGCCACCGCACGCGCCGCCGCCGGCGACGGUUGCCGGUGACCGUGGUGGCUCGCCGGAAAGUACUGUUCCGGCGAGUACCUGAAAUUCCGGCCAGCUCCAGUCCGCAGUGUUCGACCUCCUGAACUCGAAUCCGGCUUCCGUUUCCGCCAAUUCGCGACGGUUUGGGAGAAUUGCGGAGCCGAAACUCGAAAAGCUUUCCGACGAGAUUCCGACCCCGUCGGGUUCAAUCACCGGAAAGUAAGACCGAAUCCGUGAUCCUCAUCACGUGAGCUUCGAUUCGGUGCACGCGCGAGUAGUGGAGUUGAUCCCGAGAAGGAUCUUAGUUGAUUUGCGCUCUCCAGAUGCAGGUAGUACUCCAACGUCCACAAAAAUGUUCUAUUGUGACUAGCUUCAUUGUGGCGUUGGAGCUGGCACUCGGUGUUGGGAAUUUUAUUGGAUGCAGCAUCAUGUGAUAUUUUUAGUGAUGAUAGCAAACAGAUAUGCACAAGGCUUGAGUAUUGCAUUUGUUCAAAAUUAAUAUUGCAAUUUGAUGUGGUAAAUUGAAAAUCAUUUUAAAUAUUUGUUCCAUUUGAUUGUGGUUGGAAUAGCACUGGAUCAAAUUACUUAAAUAUAAGUAUACAUAUAUUGAGUAUAGUA